CACUUCGAAAUAGCAAGAGAGUGCACAAAGGUCAACUCUGUGAGCUCUAAGUCAAGAAGGAAAACGGGAAUCCACCAGAAUCAUGAAGGACAUCCUAGAUCCCAAGAAGGAGAAUGUGGGCAAACAGUCAACAUGACAGCAACCAGCUUAAAAAAGCCUGGAGUCAACAUGGGGAGAGGCUUGGAGAUGCUGUGAAGCAAAGACACUGGGAACAGCUGCAGACAUUUUCCCAGACCAGGAAAAAAACAGAGAGAGAAGAAGGAGAGCAAAGGGAGGAGGAGGAGGAGAAAAGAAGAAAGCAGAGAAGAAGGGACAGAGAAAAAAAGGAAGUUGGUUCUAACGUUUCUCUAACAACUGGCUUCAGUGAAACACUCCCACCUUGUGGAUUUUUAGGUUAUUGAAAUUAACCAGUCUUCUGGGUGCAGCACACCAACAUGGCACAUGUAUACCUAUGUAACAAACCUGCACUUUGUGCACAUGUACCCUAAAACUUAAAGUAUAAUAAAAAAAUAAAAUAAAAAGCUACACAAAUU